GGAUCCGUGGGGCAAUGGUAGCGCGUCUGACUCCAGAUCAGAAGGUUGCGUGUUCAAUUGACGUCGGGUUCA
rfam:Brassica napus, WGS project CCCW01000000 data, contig: 7161